CCUGAACUCGAGUAGGGCCCAAGCCAGCCAGGAAGGAGGAGGCAGCCAGAGUGUUCUCUGCAGCAGAAGACCCCUUGCUGCCCUGCUUAACCCAGACCAGCAUUUGCCAGGGGCAGCUGGGAAGAAUAUGGGCCUCCUCUCCCCUAGCUACGCCCCUGACUCAGCCUCUGGUGAGUUGACUGCAUCUCAUCCACCAGGUUGUUCUGACAGAAGAGCAACAAUAUAACUUGCGGAUAAACUUUGUGUGUUUAUCAAGAAGAUGAGGCCAGCUCUGUACUCAAUAUGAUAACCUAAACUUUCAAAAGAACCUCAGGGAGAUCCACAGAUUUCCCAGGCUUUUGCCCCAGCCCCCUCAAAUCUGAUGACUGAAGAAAGAGAAGAAGAUUGAAGAAGAGUAGACUCAACCAGACCACAGAAGUGGACAACUGGACACAAUGGGAGUGAAGCCCUAGACUGAGCAUGGAAGGAGCUCCACAAGAUGAUGAUGUCACAUCUCAUAUUUUCUUUCAAUUGGUGUUACAAAGCAGCAUUGCUUUCAAUGGCAACCGCACAGCCUAAGAAUAUCUAUAGUUCUGCUCUAAUAAAAGUUUAGA